GAUGAACGCUGGCGGCGUGCUUAACACAUGCAAGUCGAACGGAAAGGCUCCUGCUUGCUGGGGUACUCGAGUGGCGAACGGGUGAGUAACACGAGGGUGAUCUGCCCUACAUUUCGGGAUAAGCUAGGGAAACUGGGUCUAAUAUCGGAUAGGACCACAUUUUGGAUGGUGAGGUGGAAAGUUUUUCGGCGUGGGAUGAGCUCGGGGCCUAUAAGCUUGUUGGUGGGGAAAUGGCCUACCAAGGCGUCGACGGGGAGCCGGCCUGAGAGGAUGGACGGCCACAUUAGGCCUGAGAUGCGGCCCAGACUCCUACGGAAGGCAGCAGUGGGGAAGAUUGGACCAAGGCCGAACGCCUGAUGGAGCGAGGCCGUGUGGGUGAUGACGGCCUUUGUGUGGUAAGCAACUUUCGCUGGGGACGAAGCGUUUUUGUGACGGUACCUGGAGAAGAAGCACCGGCUAACUACGUG
rnacentral:rRNA from 1 species